GACGAACGCUGGCGGCGUGCCUAAUACAUGCAAGUAGAACGCUGAAGGGAGAGCUUGCUCUUCUGGAUGAGUUGCGAACGGGUGAGUAACGCGUAGGUAACCUGCCUGGUAGCGGGGGAUAACUAUUGGAAACGAUAGCUAAUACCGCAUAACAUUGACUAUUGCAUGAUAGUCAAUUGAAAGGUGCAAUUGCACCACUACCAGAUGGACCUGCGUUGUAUUAGCUAGUUGGUGGGGUAACGGCUCACCAAGGCGACGAUACAUAGCCGACCUGAGAGGGUGAUCGGCCACACUGGGACUGAGACACGGCCCAG
rnacentral:rRNA from 1 species